CUCCCCUCUCGUCCCACCAACUCCAGUGGAUCUCCUCUCUGUGUAGAAAAACGCAGUGCCUGUGGGACCAAACUCUGGACGCCGUUUCACGAUAGCUAACAACCGUUUGGAUGAGCAGACCAACCAGACCCUCAAGACUGGUAAAUCACUUGAAGGGUACCAGGAAUGGUGGGAAGACAACCUGAAGAUAAUUCUCUUUGCACCUGAAGGUAAUUAUAUUUGCACACAACAGCAGCGUCCAGGCCUCCAGAGUACUCACUCUAUCACCUGAUAUACGGACGGGAGCCGCAGCUGUUUACUAAUGUAAACAAUGCAGUUGUAUAGCCAAUUAUUGCAUAUAAUGUAGUAUAAAAAAUGUGUGAUUGACUGACUUAGUGUUGUUUGCCUAUUGCUGUUUUUGUAUAACGUGCUUUGAGAUCACAGAAACUCCACCUGAUGUGGUGGAAGUUGUCGAACCAGAUCAGAACGCCUUCGAAGACCACCUUCAGGCACGGGCUGAGAAGGAUGUGGAGGAAAGAAAGAGCAAGAAAACUAUCAUACUGGGCACAUAAUAUGCAAUACUACAAGAACAAAGAGAGCAGCAGUGCCUGGACUUUGCAGUCUCUAUCUUUGAGUCCCCCUUCGAAGACUGACUGCCUGUUGAGAACAAGUGACAGGCAGAACCUCCCAUCCACAGAGCACGCAUCUCCUCUCUAUUCCACACUCCAUAAUUCAGUAUUUGUCUAUGAUUGCCAUGUGAGUGUACAAAAAAAUCUGUGAAAGUCAAUUGACACACAUGUACCAAAAAAAUCCCUUAAAUAUUGACAGAUUGGUUUUCACAGCAUUUCACAAGGUGUUCAUUAUUGUAAAUUGUAAGGUAUCCGUUGAUGGUAUUUGUUAGUUCAACAUUAUGCAUUGGUGUAUCCUAGGACCUACGAUAGAUAGAUAUUCAACCACAAGGGUGUACUAAAAAAUAUUUAAAUCAUAAUAGAGGACUACUGAAAUAAUAUUAUUUCAGUGUAGAUAAGGGAAGGCCGGUUUUAAAUGAAAACAUGUCAGCCAGACCAGCCAGUGUACGUAUCAAAUGUAUUUGAAUGAAUUUAGUGGAAAUUACCUGACUUUGUGAUCUGUAAGGCAAGUAACAAUGUGUGUGGGGGUGGCAUUGAAAUUAUAUAAAAAAUGUUUUACCCUGA